rnacentral:misc_RNA from 1 species
GAUGAAGAACGUAGCGAAAUGCGAUAAGUAGUGUGAAUUGCAGAAGUACCGUGAAUCAUCGAAUCUUUGAACGCAAAUUGCACUCUCUGGUAUUCCGGGGAGUAUGCCUGUUUGAGGGUCGCUUAACAAACCAUCGAUUUCGUUGCUUUUUUUUUAAAAAAGUGAUGUUUAUCGGAUUUGAGCCGUCUUUUUUUUUUAUAUUUAAGUGGCUUAAAAUUGAUUUUUUUUGGUACGAUCGAAGCGUAUUUUUAUGAUCAAUUUUUGGUUAAAGAAACGCACACGUACCGUUAUUUAUAUGAUGUAAUACGUUUGACUAUCGGAUUUAGUUCAUUCGUAUACGAUAUUUUUCAAUAUUUGACCUCAAAUCAGGUAAGAACACCCGCUGAACUUAAGCAUAUCAAUAAGCGGAGGA